ACCAAUCAGCAUUCAUCCUCCUUGGGUGGCUUGAGCCACAGUGAGGAGAUUCCAAAUACUACCACCACACAACACAGCAGCACGUUAUCUACGCAGCAGAAUACCCUUUCAUCAUCAACAUCUUCUGGUCGCACUUCAACAUCCACUCUUUUGCACACAAGUGUGGAGAGUGAGGCGAAUCUCCAUUCUUCCUCCAGCACUUUUUCCACCACAUCCAGCACAGUCUCUGCACCUCCCCCAGUGGUCAGUGUCUCCUCCAGUCUCAAUAGUGGCAGUAGCCUGGGCCUCAGCCUAGGCAGCAACUCCACUGUCACAGCCUCGACUCGAAGCUCAGUUGCUACGACUUCAGGAAAAGCUCCUCCCAACCUCCCUCCUGGGGUCCCGCCGUUGUUGCCUAAUCCGUAUAUUAUGGCUCCAGGGCUGUUACAUGCCUACCCGGUAAGUGGGACUAAAGGAUCUUCUUCAAAAGGUGAGGAUGUUGUGGCUACUCUUUUUAUAGCUCUGGCUUCAGAUGGACCCCUGUGAAUACCAAAACUUGCACAUACUCAAGCCCUGCAGUUGGCUCUGUGGAAUCCAUGUAUAUGGGUUUUGCAUUCUGUAAAUGUGACCGUAUUUUUGAUCUGUGUGUCUGGUUGGAAAAAAUUCACAUAUAAACAGCGUGCAGUUCAAACCUGUGUUAAGGGUCAACUGUAAUUAAAAUAUAAAAUAAAUGAGGGAUUGCCACAUGUAAUCAAACUGGUUUUUAAUCUUUGCAGUUUUGGAAAAAAUACUAAACUGAGGCCAACCCAUCUAUUGUAUAUCUGCUUUGGUUUAUGGUGCACACAUGUAUGCAUGUGUGUGUGUGUACA
rnacentral:sRNA from 1 species